UAACACUGAGGCGUGAUGACGAGGCACUACGGUGCUGAAGCAACAAAUGCCCUGCUUCCAGGAAAAGCCUCUAAGCAUCAGGUAACAUCAAAUCGUACCCCAAACCGACACAGGUGGUCAGGUAGAGAAUACCAAGGCGCUUGAGAGAACUCGGGUGAAGGAACUAGGCAAAAUGGUGCCGUAACUUCGGGAGAAGGCACGCUGACACGUAGGUGAAGUGAUUUACUCAUGGAGCUGAAGUCAGUCGAAGAUACCAGCUGGCUGCAACUGUUUAUUAAAAACACAGCACUGUGCAAACACGAAAGUGGACGUAUACGGUGUGACGCCUGCCCGGUGCCGGAAGGUUAAUUGAUGGGGUCAGCGCAAGCGAAGCUCCUGAUCGAAGCCCCGGUAAACGGCGGCCGUAACUAUAACGGUCCUAAGGUAGCGAAAUUCCUUGUCGGGUAAGUUCCGACCUGCACGAAUGGCGUAAUGAUGGCCAGGCUGUCUCCACCCGAGACUCAGUGAAAUUGAACUCGCUGUGAAGAUGCAGUGUACCCGCGGCAAGACGGAAAGACCCCGUGAACCUUUACUAUAGCUUGACACUGAACAUUGAGCCUUGAUGUGUAGGAUAGGUGGGAGGCUUUGAAGUGUGGACGCCAGUCUGCAUGGAGCCGGCCUUGAAAUACCACCCUUUAAUGUUUGAUGUUCUAACGUGGACCCGUGAUCCGGGUUGCGGACAGUGUCUGGUGGGUAGUUUGACUGGGGCGGUCUCCUCCUAAAGAGUAACGGAGGAGCACGAAGGUUGGCUAAUCCUGGUCGGACAUCAGGAGGUUAGUGCAAUGGCAUAAGCCAGCUUGACUGCGAGCGUGACGGCGCGAGCAGGUGCGAAAGCAGGUCAUAGUGAUCCGGUGGUUCUGAAUGGAAGGGCCAUCGCUCAACGGAUAAAAGGUACUCCGGGGAUAACAGGCUGAUACCGCCCAAGAGUUCAUAUCGACGGCGGUGUUUGGCACCUCGAUGUCGGCUCAUCACAUCCUGGGGCUGAAGUAGGUCCCAAGGGUAUGGCUGUUCGCCAUUUAAAGUGGUACGCGAGCUGGGUUUAGAACGUCGUGAGACAGUUCGGUCCCUAUCUGCCGUGGGCGCUGGAGAACUGAGGGGGGCUGCUCCUAGUACGAGAGGACCGGAGUGGACGCAUCACUGGUGUUCGGGUUGUCAUGCCAAUGGCACUGCCCGGUAGCUAAAUGCGGAAGAGAUAAGUGCUGAAAGCAUCUAAGCACGAAACUUGCCCCGAGAUGAGUUCUCCCUGAGACUUUAGGUCUCCUGAAGGAACGUUGAAGACGACGACGUUGAUAGGCCGGGUGUGUAAGCGCAGCGAUGCGUUGAGCUAACCGGUACUAAUGAACCGUGAGGCUUAACCUUACA
rnacentral:rRNA from 1 species